CCACACCGUCGGGAACGACUGCACAACAUGCUGGAGACGGUGGCCGCGCCGCUCCUCUCAGAGUUAACUUUUUAAUCCCGGUUUUGUUGCUUUAUCACUAGAGAGGAGGAGGCGGAGGAGGUCGAGGAGACAGACGGGGAGAAAAAGUCAGUCAUGCCAAGAGGUUAGGGUGAGAGCCGGGGGAGCGUCUUCUUGUGAAAGAAGCCCGUCGGUAUUUGUUUGUGUUGAAGGGGGACAGAAUAAAGAGGGAAGAGGGGGAAGCAGGGGGUCGAGAAGCCCGGAGAAGAGCGAGAGAAAAGUGGGGUUGAAGAUGCAGCUGGCCGCGGUGCUGUGGGGCGUCCUGGCAACUUUGUUCCUCAGCCAGAGUCCAGCUUUUUCUGUAAAAGAUUUGUCGUAAUUGCUGGUAAACGGCAAGGAACCGAUCGAAAACCUUUUGAUAAGGUCAAAAACGGAAGAACAAGUCUAGAUGGUUAGGUUGGCAUUGGCCAGGCUGUUGCUUACGCCAGAGGACGGGGGAACAGGCCACCCGAUACCCCCGCUGCGCUUUGUGUGUCUCUUCAGAAAGGAUGGAAUUGCACCUCCAAGGUAGCAGUGGAGCGGGGGCCUGCUGUGGAGGACAGAAAGAUAAGCAGGCCUGGAGACUCGCUGUCUGAGCACACCAGUGGAGGGGGGAGCAGGGACACAAAG